UACGUAGGAUGCAAGCGUUGUUCGGAAUUACUGGGCGUAAAGAGUACGUAGGCGGUUUGUCGCGUUGUUCGUGAAAACUCACAGCUCAACUGUGGGCGUGCGGGCGAUACGGGCAGACUAGAGUACUGCAGGGGAGACUGGAAUUCCUGGUGUAGCGGUGGAAUGCGCAGAUAUCAGGAGGAACACCGGUGGCGAAGGCGGGUCUCUGGGCAGUAACUGACGCUGAGGAGCGAAAGCGUGGGGAGCGAACAGG
rnacentral:rRNA from 1 species